ensembl:lncRNA
CUCGGAAUUCGGGAAUCUCCAACCUCCGAAUUCAGUGCUUUCAAAACAAUUGGGAACUAAUAAAAAAAACAUUUCUGACUGGAAAAAUGAGUUUUGAACGGUCAUCCAACUUGGAAUUACUAUUCGUAAACUCGGGCGUCAUGCCGCUUUCAAAACAAUUGAGAACUCUGGCUAAAAUUAGCUCGGACUGGGAAAAAUAAUUUUGAAUUCCAAGUCGGAACUCUUUCUCCGUCGUGAUUUGACCUAGUUUUUUUCCGAGUUCCCAGUUGUCUUGAAAGCGCCAUCGUCAUUAGAACUCCGACUUCUCUGACAUGAAGGUCACUGACGUCCCGAUCCUAAGAUUUCCCCCCCCAUUCUGAGCUCGUUUUUUCCGAAUCCCCAAUUCGCUUGAAUGCACCAAAAGUUUAUAUAGCGCAAAAGACUGGCCAGCCACAUGCUUGCUCAUUCGAUUAGUCUUGUGAUCGACCUGAAGACGCCUUUCUCAAUGUCGAAGUUAUGGCUUAGAAAUGCUUCAUUGGUGUUUAACGUUAGUUAUUGGUACACUGCUGCCACUUGAGUCUUGCAAUGCUCCUGAACUGGUCAUUAACUCCAAGUAGCUAAAUUGGUGUUGUGGAGGGUUGGGCCUUGCAGAACCAUGCACGUGGGGAACUGGAGAAACGUAAAACCAUUCCGGGGUUCUAGAUUCGGGAGCCCACUCCUUCUGGACCUGGCCAGGGCGGUAUGAACUGGAGCAUACCCCAUUGACUGCACAUGGCUGGAGUGAUACCGCCCCAAUGAGUUGAUGACUAGAAGACUCACGGUGGUGUCCCUUUGAAUAACAUCCCUGCAAGUUCUCCCUGGACUGGACCUGUGGACGAUUCUCUUCCACGUGGCCGGAGUUUCCAAGACGGUCGGUCCUUUCUUCCUCUGGAAGUGAUCAACUGGAAGGAAUUGUGUUGUGUGGUAGCCCAUAUGGGACUCACCUGGGACAUGGAUACCUGAAGACCGAAGGCUCAACAUUGUUAAUAAAUAUCAUGAGCAGCAGUGGUUUCCUUUGUCUUUUCCAUGUGUGUUCUGCUUUGUUUGUGAGGUUUUGCUGAGUAAUGGUGUUUGUCUGUGACUAUAGCAAAGACGGUCAUUCUUUUUAACUUCAAUAAAUCGGUUUUAACCAAG